AAGGGUCACAAGGGAAAAAGUGAAGCUGCCAGCAUGAUCUAGCUUUGGUUAGUGGGAGCCAGAGAGUGCUAACCCUCACUAGGUCAUGCUGUGCUAGCCUCACUCCUUCCUAUUUGGAGAC
rnacentral:pre_miRNA from 1 species